GAUGAAGAACGCAGUGAAAUGCGAUAAGUAAUGCGAAUUGCAGAAUUCCAGUGAGUCAUCGAAUCUUUGAACGCACAUUGCGCCCUUUGGUAUUCCGAAGGGCAUGCCUGUCCGAGCGUCAUUAUCAACCCUCAAGCCCGGCUUGUCAUUGGGCCUCACCGCGCGUCGGUGGGCCGGAAAUGUAGUGGCGGAGUCGGUUGGCCCCCUGGUGCAGCGAGCUUCUCAGCACGCACCGUGGCGGUCUUCCGGCUCGGCCUUGACCACAAAUUUUCUCAGGUUGACCUCGGAUCAGGUAGGAAUACCCGCUGAACUUAAGCAUAUCAAUAAGCGGAGGA
rnacentral:misc_RNA from 1 species